rnacentral:rRNA from 1 species
GACGGAAGGUGCAAGCGUUGCUCGGAAUCACUGGGCGUAAAGGGUGCGUAGGCGGGUAUUUAAGUCAGGGGUGAAAUCCUGGAGCUCAACUCCAGAACUGCCUUUGAUACUGAGGAUCUUGAGUCCGGGAGAGGUGAGUGGAACUGCGAGUGUAGAGGUGAAAUUCGUAGAUAUUCGCAAGAACACCAGUGGCGAAGGCGGCUCACUGGCCCGGUACUGACGCUGAGGCACGAAAGCGUGGGGAGCAAACAGG